rnacentral:rRNA from 1 species
GCUGGCGGCGUGCCUAACACAUGCAAGUCGAACGAGAAAGUGGAGCAAUCCAUGAGUACAGUGGCGUACGGGUGAGUAACACGUGACUAACCUACCCUCGAGUGGGGAAUAACUUCGGGAAACCGAGGCUAAUACCGCAUAAUGUCUACGGACCAAAUGCGUAAGCAGCUUGAGGAGGGGGUCGCGGCUGAUUAGCUUGUUGGCGGGGUAACGGCCCACCAAGGCAAUGAUCAGUAGCCGGCCUGAGAGGGCGCACGGCCACACUGGAACUGAAACACGGUCCAGACUCCUACGGGAGGCAGCAGUGGGGAAUUUUGCGCAAUGGGGGAAACCCUGACGCAGCAACGCCGCGUGGAGGAUGAAGCCCCUUGGGGUGUAAACUCCUUUCGAUCGGGACGAUUAUGACGGUACCGGAUGAAGAAGCACCGGCUAACUCUGUGCCAGCAGCCGCGGUAAUACAGAGGGUGCAAGCGUUGUUCGGAAUUAUUGGGCGUAAAGGGUGCGUAGGCGGUGCGGUAAGUCUUCUGUGAAACCUCCGGGCUUAACUCGGAGCCUGCAGGGGAAACUGCCGUGCUG